CCUACGGGCGACAGCAGUAGGGAAUCUUGCUCAAUGGGGGAAACCCUGAAGCAGCAACGCCGCGUGGAGGAUGAAGGUUUUCGGAUUGUAAACUCCUUUUGUUAGAGAAGAUAAUGACGGUAUCUAACGAAUAAGCACCGGCUAACUCCGUGCCAGCAGCCGCGGUAAUACGGAGGGUGCAAGCGUUACUCGGCAUCACUGGGCGUAACGAGCGCGUAGGCGGGAUAGCAAGUCAGAUGUGAAAUCCUAUGGCUUAACCAUAGAACUGCAUUUGAAACUGUUAGUCUAGAGUAUGGGAGAGGUAGGUGGAAUUCUUGGUGUAGGGUUAAACGCCGGAGAGAUCAAGAGGAAUACUCAUUGCGAAGGCGACCUGCUAGAACAUAACUGACGCUGAUGCGCGAAAGCGUGGGGAGCAAACAGGAUUAGAUACCCUUGUAGUC
rnacentral:rRNA from 1 species